ensembl:miRNA
UUAAAGGGAAUUUGCGACUGUUAGUCAAAACAUUAGAACAGCCACACCUUCCUUUUAAGAU